GUUGUUGUAGCUUAUACCAAAGCAUGGCACUGAAGCUGCCAAGAUGGGUGUUAACUACCCCAAAAACA
rnacentral:tRNA from 1 species